rnacentral:tRNA from 1 species
UCCCUGAUAGCUCAGUUGGUAAAGAAUCUACCUGCAAUGCAGGAGACCCUGGUUCAAUUCCUGGGUUGGGAA